rnacentral:RNase_P_RNA from 1 species
GUUGGGACCUGAGGAAAGUCCGAGCUCCACAGAGCGGGUUGCUGGGUAACGCCCAGGCGGGGUGACCCGACGGACAGUGCCACAGAGAGCAGACCGCCAAUGGCCGGCACGCUGAGCUCGCGCAGCGGGCACUGAUGUGUCAAGGCACAGGCAAGGGUGAAACGGUGGUGUAAGAGACCACCAGCAGUUCGGGCGACCGAACUGGCUCGGUAAACCCCAACCGGAGCAAGACCAAAUAGGGGAGCGUGUGAGGGUGGCUCGCCCGAGGCUCCCGGGUAGGUCGCUUGAGGCGUGAGGUAACUCACGUCCUAGAGGAAUGAUCAUCACCGAUGCCCGUGGCAUCGGCACAGAACUCGGCUUAUGGUCAACUCUGACGC